rnacentral:rRNA from 1 species
CCUACGGGGGGCAGCAGUGGGGAAUAUUGGACAAUGGGGGGAACCCUGAUCCAGCCAUGCCGCGUGUGUGAAGAAGGCCCUCGGGUUGUAAAGCACUUUCAGUGAGGAAGAACGCGUGGUGGUUAAUACCCAUCAGGAAAGCCAUAACUCACAGAAGAAGCACCGGCUAACUCCGUGCCAGCAGCCGCGGUAAUACGGAGGGUGCGAGCGUUAAUCGGAAUUACUGGGCGUAAAGCGCGCGUAGGUGGCUUGAUAAGCCGGUUGUGAAAGCCCCGGGCUCAACCUGGGAACGGCAUCCGGAACUGUCAAGCUAGAGUGCAGGAGAGGAAGGUAGAAUUCCCGGUGUAGCGGUGAAAUGCGUAGAGAUCGGGAGGAAUACCAGUGGCGAAAGCGGCCUUCUGGACUGACACUGACACUGAGGUGCGAAAGCGUGGGUAGCAAACAGGAUUAGAUACCCCAGUAGUC